rnacentral:rRNA from 1 species
GACGAACGCUGGCGGCGUGCUUAACACAUGCAAGUCGAACGGAAAGGCCCUGCUUUUGUGGGGUGCUCGAGUGGCGAACGGGUGAGUAACACGUGAGUAACCUGCCCUUGACUUUGGGAUAACUUCAGGAAACUGGGGCUAAUACCGGAUAGGAGCUCCUGCUGCAUGGUGGGGGGUUGGAAAGUUUCGGCGGUUGGGGAUGGACUCGCGGCUUAUCAGCUUGUUGGUGGGGUAGUGGCUUACCAAGGCUUUGACGGGUAGCCGGCCUGAGAGGGUGACCGGCCACAUUGGGACUGAGAUACGGCCCAGACUCCUACGGGAGGCAGCAGUGGGGAAUAUUGCACAAUGGGCGGAAGCCUGAUGCAGCAACGCCGCGUGCGGGAUGACGGCCUUCGGGUUGUAAACCGCUUUCGCCUGUGACGAAGCGUGAGUGACGGUAAUGGGUAAAGAAGCACCGGCUAACUACGUG